GGGGAAUAUUGCACAAUGGGGGAAACCCUGAUGCAGCGACGCCGCGUGAGUGAAGAAGUAUUUCGGUAUGUAAAGCUCUAUCAGCAGGGAAGAAAAUGACGGUACCUGACUAAGAAGCCCCGGCUAACUACGUGCCAGCAGCCGCGGUAAUACGUAGGGGGCAAGCGUUAUCCGGAUUUACUGGGUGUAAAGGGAGCGUAGGUGGCAAAUCAAGUCAGAUGUGAAAGCCCGGGGCUCAACCACGGGAUUGCAUUUGAAACUGGUAUGCUAGAGUGCAGGAGAGGUAAGUGGAAUUCCUAGUGUAGCGGUGAAAUGCGUAGAUAUUAGGAGGAACACCAGUGGCGAAGGCGGCUUACUGGACUGUAACUGACACUGAGGCUCGAAAGCGUGGGGAGCAAAC
rnacentral:rRNA from 1 species